CACGUCAGCGCGAUUUGCUGAUAUGACAACAAAUCGGGCCCUUUAGGAUGCGAUUUGCUGCCACGUCAACAAAUCGCGCUGACGUGG
rfam:Gossypium hirsutum cultivar TM-1 unplaced genomic scaffold scaffold1277.1, whole genome shotgun sequence